GACGAACGCUGGCGGCGUGCCUAAUACAUGCAAGUAGAACGCUGAAGGAGGAGCUUGCUUCUCUGGAUGAGUUGCGAACGGGUGAGUAACGCGUAGGUAACCUGCCUGGUAGCGGGGGAUAACUAUUGGAAACGAUAGCUAAUACCGCAUAAUAGCAGUUAUUGCAUGAUAACUGUUUGAAAGGUGCAAUUGCAUCACUACCAGAUGGACCUGCGUUGUAUUAGCUAGUUGGUGGGGUAACGGCUCACCAAGGCGACGAUACAUAGCCGACCUGAGAGGGUGAUCGGCCACACUGGGACUGAGACACGGCCCAGACUCCUACGGGAGGCAGCAGUAGGGAAUCUUCGGCAAUGGACGGAAGUCUGACCGAGCAACGCCGCGUGAGUGAAGAAGGUUUUCGGAUCGUAAAGCUCUGUUGUAAGAGAAGAACGAGUGUGAGAGUGGAAA
rnacentral:rRNA from 1 species